GACGAACCGUGCGAACGUUGUUCGGAUUCACUGGGCUUAAAGGGCGCGUAGGCGGCAAUGCAAGUCCGGGGUGAAAGCUUUCGGCUUAACCGGAAAAGGGCCUUGGAUACUGCGUUGCUGGAGGGAGGUAGGGGCAUGUGGAACUUCCGGUGGAGCGGUGAAAUGCGUAGAUAUCGGAAGGAACGCCGGUGGCGAAAGCGACGUGCUGGACCUCUUCUGACGCUGAGGCGCGAAAGCCAGGGGAGCAAACGGG
rnacentral:rRNA from 2 species